CCUAACGGUUCGUUUGGAUGUUUGCUUUCACGCUUGGCAUUAGACAUUGGCAUCCCGCAGGCCCGAAUAUCCCGAAAUCACAGUGUUUGGAUGGCCUAGGUAUUCAUGUGAUGCAUUCGGGCUGAAUAUUGAGGUUCCCAGAGUUGGCCUACGGAGCCCACUCCCGAAUACAGAGGCCAGGACCUAAACAUUGCUAGGCAUUCGCUCCUCUCAUCUCCCCCCGUCACCCGUCAGACGUCAGUCCUUCAUCUAGUCCCCAACCCCGCUCGACAGGAGUUGACUCGCGCCUGAGCUAAGGAUCGUCGCCGGCGGCACGGGUACCACUGCCGCCCAUCCCGCCCUCCUCCUCCGGCAAGAGCACGCCGACCACUCCACCGACCUCCGGCAUCGGGUGCUCCUCCACCCGAGCUCCGGCGGCCCGCACAGGUGCGUUUCCGUAGCCCGCCACCCCUCACUCUUCCCAUAGCUCGGGCGGGCGGCCUCCUCCCCUCUCCCCUGUGUGCAGCACACGCGGGCGAGUUGAAGAAGACGACCGCAACCUACACCCCGAUGGCCCGAUCUAUCCAUGUCACAGAUAGGGCUGCAAGUUUGUUGACUGAAACCUUGUAAUACAGGAUAUGAGUAAUCCUAGUCGAAUCACGUAUCCUCUCCGACACCUGUAACCUGAUCUAAAAUUGAUAUGAAUAUACUUUGGAUGUGGGUGUGAUGUUGCUUGCGAGAGUGAUAUGAAUUUGUUUUGUAAAAUGAACUUGUCAAAAUGCUCGCAGAGUGUGUAUGUUGUUGUUUGUGGAACUGCUAUGUAUAAUGAGUUGUAAAAUUGUGUUUGUAAUAAAUAGUAUAAUGAUCAAAGUCUAGUACAAGUGCAA